CCCUUAGAUGUUCUGGGCUUCACGCGCGCUACACUGACGAGGACAUCGAGUGUAUUCCUUGACCGGAAGGUCCGGGUAAUCUUGAAAACCUCGUCGUGCUGGGGAUAGAUUAUUGUAAUUAUUAAUCUUCAACGAGGAAUUCCUAGUAAACGUGAGUCAUCAGCUCGCAUUGAUUACGUCCCUGCCCUUUGUACACACCGCCCGUCGCUCCUACCGAUUGAAUGGUCCGGUGAAUUCUUUGGACUCCGUGCGGGCUUCUGGCAACAGAACCCACUUGGGGGAAAUUGUGUAAACCUUACCAUUUAGAGGAAGGAGAANUCGUANCA
rnacentral:rRNA from 1 species